GUCGUCCAUGUGUCAUGGAUUUUCUCUUUCUCAUACUGGGUCAGGAAUUGGUCUAUUAAAUAGCAUCCUUCAUGAAUAUGCAAAUAACUGAGGGGAAUAUAGUAUCUCUGUACCCUGAAAGCAUCACCCAACAACCACAUCCCUCCUUGGGAGAAUCCCCUAGAGCACAGCUCCUCACCAUGGACCGGACCUGGAGCAUCCUCUUCUUGGUGGCAGCAGCAACAGGUACCUACUCCCAGGUGCAGUUGGUGCAGUCUGGUCAUGAGGUGAAGCAGCCUGGGGCCUCAGUGAAGGUCUCCUGCAAGGCUUCUGGUUACAGUUUCACCACCUAUGGUAUGAAUUGGGUGCGACAGGCCCCUGGACAAGGGCUUGAGUGGAUGGGAUGGUUCAACACCUACACUGGGAACCCAACAUAUGCCCAGGGCUUCACAGGACGGUUUGUCUUCUCCAUGGACACCUCUGUCAGCACAGCAUACCUGCAGAUCAGCAGCCUAAAGGCUGAGGACACUGCCAUGUAUUACUGUGCGAGAUACACCAUGUGGAAACCCACAUCCUGAGAGUGUCAGAAAUCCUGAUGUAGGAGGCAGCUGUGCUGAGCUGAGGCAGUGAUGCAGCAGUUUCCUUAACUUCCAUCUUAUCUCAUUUUGCAUCGACAUCCACCUUUAUAUUAGCCAAGAAUGUGGAAUAGACGGGUGCUCCUAAGAGAUCCUUAACUUGCCCAUUUUAUUGGGUUUUCCAGAAGAUGUGAGAAGCCACUUUGUUAGCAAAGCAUGCCGAAGCCAUGCCCUGCUCCAGACACAUGUGAGCCCAUUUCCUGCUCUUUGCUUAACUGACGAGCUCUCAUCAGUGCAUCUGGGCUAAUUUCACAUCAGGUAGAGGAAUAUGUUCUAAAGGAAA